rnacentral:rRNA from 1 species
GGGGGCCCAGCAAUGGGCAACCGGCGAACGGGUGCGUAACACGUGAGCAACCUACCGAACUGUGGGGGAUAGCCGGCCUAACGGCCGAGUAAUACCGCAUACGCUUUCAGUGAGGCAUUUCAUUGAAAGGAAACCUACGGGACAGAUCGAGGGGCUCGCGGCCUAUCAGCUAGUUGGUGAGGUAACGGCUCACCAAGGCAACGACGGGUAGCUGGUCUGAGAGGAUGGCCAGCCACAUUGGGACUGAGAUACGGCCCAGACUCCUACGGGAGGCAGCAGUGGGGAAUCUUGCGCAAUGGCCUAACGGCUGACGCAGCGACGCCGCGUGUGGGAUGAAGCUCUUCGGAGUGUAAACCACUGUUGCCCGGGACGAACAGCUCGAUUAAUCGAGCCUGACGGUACCGGGUGAGGAAGCACCGGCUAACUCCGUGCCAGCAGCCGCGGUAAUACGGGGGGUGCGAGCGUUGUCCGGAAUCACUGGGCGUAAAGGGCGCGUAGGUGGUUUGAUAAGGGUGUGGUGAAAGUCCGGGGCUCAACCCCGGAUCUGCCGUGCCGACUGUCAAACUCGAGGGCUGUAGAGGCAGACGGAAUUCCGGGUGUAGCGGUGGAAUGCGUAGAGAUCCGGAGGAAGACCGGUGGCGAAGGCGGUCUGCUGGGCAGUUUCUGACACUGAUGCGCGACAGCGUGGGGAGCAAACAGGAUUAGAUACCCUGGUAGUCCACGCCGUAAACGAUGGGUACUAGGUGCCUGGGGGAGCGACCCUCUGGGUGCCGGCGCUAACGCAGGAAGUACCCCGCCUGGGGAGUACGACCGC